AGGUGUGAUCAUACUCGCACGAAUGCACCACAUCCCAUCAAAACUUCGCAGUUAAGCAUGCUUGCGCGAGAGUAGUAAUAGGAUGGGUGACCUCUAGGGAAGUCAUCGUGUUGCACCUC
rnacentral:rRNA from 2 species